CAGCCGCCACGGUAAUACGUAGGUGGCAAGCGUUAUCCGGAAUUAUUGGGCGUAAAGCGCGCGUAGGCGGUUUUUUAAGUCUGAUGUGAAAGCCCACGGCUCAACCGUGGAGGGUCAUUGGAAACUGGAAAACUUGAGUGCAGAAGAGGAAAGUGGAAUUCCAUGUGUAGCGGUGAAAUGCGCAGAGAUAUGGAGGAACACCAGUGGCGAAGGCGACUUUCUGGUCUGUAACUGACGCUGAUGUGCGAAAGCGUGGGGAUCAAACAGGAUUAGAUACCCCAGUAGUCCCUGUCUCUUAUAA
rnacentral:rRNA from 1 species